rfam:Schistosoma haematobium scaffold896_26, whole genome shotgun sequence.
AUCUAGCUGAUGAGUUCCAAAUAGGACGAAACGCGCGUCCUGAAU